UACGUAGGGUGCAAGCGUUGUCCGGAAUUAUUGGGCGUAAAGAGCUCGUAGGCGGUUUGUCGCGCCUGCUGUGAAAUCCCGAGGCUCAACCUCGGGCCUGCAGUGGGUACGGGCAGACUAGAGUGCGGUAGGGGAGAUUGGAAUUCCUGGUGUAGCGGUGGAAUGCGCAGAUAUCAGGAGGAACACCGAUGGCGAAGGCAGAUCUCUGGGCCGUAACUGACGCUGAGGAGCGAAAGCGUGGGGAGCGAACAGG
rnacentral:rRNA from 1 species